rnacentral:ncRNA from 1 species
AGCGACAGGGACCGCCUCCAGCCCGCAAGUGGAGGCUCCGCUCUCCCACCUGGUGGCCCCUCGGGCCGCGGGUCAAAGGUCAGGCUGCGCCCCGCGGUUUCCGCGGCGGUGCUCCCGGUCUGUGAGGAGCCCCGCCUGUGACCCGUUCGGGGCGUUUUUU